GCCCGUCUAACUCGGUAGAGCGCAAGGCUCUUAAACUUGUGGUCGUGGGUUCGAGCCCCACAAUGGGCG
rnacentral:tRNA from 1 species